AUAAGCGAGAUCGUUCAAGAGAUGUUGAACAUGUAAACAAAAUGGAGAAAACUAGUUUUUUCGGACCAUGAAGGGUUUCAGCCGGUCAGAAUAGUGGGAAACUUUUCCGGGCUUAUAAGCCAUGGGCCAUUGGAAUUGCUUUUUGGCGUUUUAUUCUGGUUUUUAUUUUAAUCAAAUCCCUCAGCUUAUUUAUAUUUCAGGAUUUGCUAAAUGUCGACUGUGUCGGGUAAACGUGUAAACCUAUUGGACAACUGCAAACAGACAAAAGCAAACGUUGUGUGCUGCAUUCAUUGACAGAAAAGGAGUAAGCAAAUUCACUCUAGUUAUGCGAAAGCAACAAACAAAUGAGCGUGAAUGUUGAUGAAUAGGAAACACCUGAUCCAAAACUAGCUUCGCUUACCUACAACUGGACUUAACUGUGUAGCCUUCCUCCUACCUUGACUGUAAUUCGCUAGCUGCGAAGUAAAUUGAUGCAAACG